rnacentral:misc_RNA from 1 species
ACGUAUCUCCGACGGGGUGCGGCGAGCCCUGCUCCGGCCAAACGGCUGUGCAGCGGGUUCCCCGUUCCCCGUCCGCACCUUACAAACCCACUGUGAACCUUCACGGCGGACGGGAGGCGACUCCCCGAGGCCGCAUACCCAAACUCCAGUCGCAAAGAAUGUCGUGCGGACUUUGGGCCGCCUAAAACACGAAA